GGGCCGGUGGUCUAGCCAGGACAUGACGCGGGCCUCCGGAGCCCGAGGUCGCGGGUUCGAAUCCCGCCCGGCCCG
rnacentral:tRNA from 1 species